rnacentral:rRNA from 1 species
ACGAACGCUGGCGGCGUGCUUAACACAUGCCAGUCGCACGGAAAGGCCCUGCUUUUGUGGGGUGCUCGAGUGGCGAACGGGUGAGUAACACGUGAGUAACCUGCCCUUGACUUUGGGAUAACUUCAGGAAACUGGGGCUAAUACCGGAUAGGAGCUCCUGCUGCAUGGUGGGGGAUGGGAAGUUUCGGCGGUUGGGGAUGGACUCGCGGCUUAUCAGCUUGUUGGUGGGGUAGUGGCUUACCAAGGCUUUGACGGGUAGCCGGCCUGAGAGGGUGACCGGCCACAUUGGGACUGAGAGACGGCCCAGACGCCUACGGGAGGCAGCAGUGGGGAAUAUUGCACAAUGGGCGGAAGCCUGAUGCAGCAACGCCGCGUGCGGGAUGACGGCCUUCGGGUUGUAAACCGCUUUCGCCUGUGACGAAGCGUGAGUGACGGUAAUGGGUAAAGAAGCACCGGCUAACUACGUG